rnacentral:rRNA from 1 species
GACGAACGCUGGCGGCGCGCUUAACACAUGCAAGUCGAACGGAAAGGCCUGCUUUCCCUUGUGGAUUGCGGGUACUCGAGUGGCGAACGGGUGAGUAACACGUGAGUGAUCUGCCCCCAACUUGGGUAUAAGCCUGGGAAACUGGGUCUAAUUCCCGAUAGGACUGCAGGGUGGUGCCUGUGGUGGAAAACGAUUUUCUAGUGGUUGGGGAUGAGCUCGCGGCCUAUCAGCUUGUUGGUGGGGUAAUGGCCUACCAAGGCGGCGACGGGUAGCCGGCCUGGGCGGGUGGACGGCCACAUUGGGACUGAGAUACGGCCCAGACUCCUACGGGAGGCAGCAGUGGGGAAUAUUGGACAAUGGGCGGAAGCCUGAUGCAGCGACGCCGCGUGGGGGAUGACGGCCUUCGGGUUGUAAACUCCUUUCGACCGCGAGGAAGCCACCUGGUUGGAAGGGUGGUGACGGUAGUGGUAGAAGAAGCACCGGCUAACUACGUG